rnacentral:rRNA from 1 species
GGCCAUGGCGGCAGCUACACAUGCAGUCGAGCGGUAACACAGAGGAGCUUGCUCCUUGGGUGACGAGCGGCGGACGGGUGAGUAAUGCCUGGGGAUCUGCCCGAUAGAGGGGGAUAACUACGGGAAACUGUAGCUAAUACCGCAUAAUGUCUACGGACCAAAGUGGGGGCUCUUCGGACCUCAUGCUAUCGGAUGAACCCAGGUGGGAUUAGCUAGUUGGUGAGGUAAUGGCUCACCAAGGCGACGAUCUCUAACUGGUUUGAGAGAAUGACCAGUCACACUGGAACUGAGACACGGUCCAGACUCCUACGGGAGGCAGCAGUGGGGAAUAUUGCACAAUGGGCGCAAGCCUGAUGCAGCCAUGCCGCGUGUGUGAAGAAGGCCUUCGGGUUGUAAAGCACUUUCGGGAGGAAGGGUCACUAGUUAAUACCUAGUGGCAUUGACGUUACUCGCAGAAGAAGCACCGGCUAACUCCGUGCCAGCAGCCGCGGUAAUACGGAGGGUGCAGCGUUAAUCGGAAUUACUGGGCGUAAAGCGCACGCAGGCGGUUUGUUAAGUCAGAUGUGAAAUCCCCGAGCUCAACUUGGGAACUGCAUUUGAAACUGGCAAGCUAGAGUCUUGUAGAGGGGGGUAGAAUUCCAGGUGUAGCGGUGAAAUGCGUAGAGAUCUGGAGGAAUACCGGUGGCGAAGGCGGCCCCCUGGACAAAGACUGACGCUCAGGUGCGAAAGCGUGGGGAGCAAACAGGAUUAGAUACCCUGGUAGUCCACGCUGUAAACGAUGUCGAUUUGGAGGUUGUGCCCUUGAGGCGUGGCUUCCGGAGCUAACGCGUUAAAUCGACCGCCUGGGGAGUACGGCCGCAAGGUUAGAACUCAAAUGAAUUGACGGGGCCCGCACAAGCGGUGGAGCAUGUGGUUUAAUUCUAUGCAACGCGAAGAGCCUUACCUACUCUUGACAUCCACAGAACUCUUGCAGAGAUGCAGGUGUGCCUUCGGGA